UACAGAGGUCCCAAGCGUUGUUCGGAUUCAUUGGGCGUAAAGGGUGCGUAGGUGGCGCUGUAAGUCGGGUGUGAAAUUUCGGAGCUUAACUCCGAAACUGCAUUCCAUACUGCGGUGCUUGAGGACUGGAGAGGAGACUGGAAUUUACGGUGUAGCAGUGAAAUGCGUAGAGAUCGUAAGGAAGACCAGUGGCGAAGGCGGGUCUCUGGACAGUUCCUGACACUGAGGAGCGAAAGCCAGGGGAGCAAACGGG
rnacentral:rRNA from 1 species